UGCGUAGGCGGAAUAUUAAGUCAGUGGUGAAAUCCUGCGGCUCAACCGUAGAACUGCCAUUGAUACUGAUAUUCUUGAAUGUAGUUGAGGUAGGCGGAAUGUGUAAUGUAGCGGUGAAAUGCUUAGGUAUUACACAGAACACCGAUUGCGAAGGCAGCUUACUAAACUAUGAUUGACGCUGAGGCACGAAAGCGUGGGGAGCGAACAGGAUUAGAUACCCUGGUAGUCC
rnacentral:rRNA from 1 species